rnacentral:rRNA from 1 species
UAGGGAAUAUUAGAAAUGGACGAAAGUCUGAUCUAGCAACACCGCGUGUGCGAAGAAGGCCUUCGGGUCGUAAAGCACUUUUUGGAAGGAAUAGGAAGGAAUGUACUUCCAGAAUAAGUCUCGGCUAACUACGUGCCAGCAGCCGCGGUAACACGUAGGAGGCGAACGUUAUCCGGAUUUACUGGGCGUAAAGCGCGUGUAGGUGGUUCUGUAAGUAGGGCGUGAAAGCUCCUGGCUCAACUGGGAGAGGCCGUUCUAAACUACAGAGCUAGAGGAUGGUAGAGGGAGGUGGAAUUCCAGGUGUAGCGGUGGUAUGCGCAGAUAUCUGGAGGAACACCAGUGGCGAAGGCGGCCUCCUGGACCAUUCCUGACACUCAGACGCGAAAGCUAGGGUAGCAAACG